rnacentral:lncRNA from 1 species
AAAAGAACAUUUAUUAUUAAACAUGAAUCAUUAGGUUUAUUUCAUUUAAAAGUUUUUUUUCGUGUUAAGGAUCAGAAAAAGCAGAAAACAGCUAAAAUGAAGAUUUCAAAAUUUUUUGAACUAGCAUCCUUUUGUAUUUUCGCAAUAAAUAUUUUACCAGGAUUAUGUCAAUUACAAUGUUACAACGAUACCACAUCACAAAUAAUGAAUUGCACUGGUAACGCUAACAUUACUGUUUGCUUAACCAUGAUACAAUUUCAAAAUGAUACUGCUAUCCAAAAAACCCGCACGUGUGGUAUGUCAACAGAUAUUAUAUGCAAUUCUACAGGAUGCGACACAAGUAACAAUGUAACAACUACCUGUCGGAAUUGCUGUUCGACUAGUCUUUGUAAUAAAAUGACCGUCAUAAAAGAUUUUAAUCCAUCUCAGCCAACAACUCCAAAUCCCCCUGUUUCAGAUGCCGCAAAACCGGUGGCCGGCUUGUUAAUAUGGUUGGUUUGUGCUCCGUUUAUAUUAAAAAACUUUAUGAGUUAAAAUAUGUAUUUUAUUAUGCAGUUGAUGUUGUUCAAUAAUUUUAUUUCAUUUUAUUUUAAUUUUAUUCAUUUUAUUUUGCACAUUUUUUUUUUCUUCAGUUCAGUUUAAAUUUUACAUCUAUAUAAAUUUUAAAAUAGCUAACUUUAAUUAGGUUUUAAAAUAUUUAACUAAGGUCUGAAUAAAUUUUUAUCUUCAAAAGAUAUGAGAUUAUGUCUGUAAAUAUAUGUCAAACAACUAUUGUAUUAACAAAACGAAUUAAUUAGGUAUUACUGUUAUUGUAAAAAUUUUAUCGUUAAAAUAUUUGAGGAUAAAUAUAA